ensembl:antisense
AAGGAGAGAAGCCGGGGCCGGGAAGCCCAUGGCCAAGAACUGUAAGAGCUGGUGGGAGAGCUGUCAAGAGAACCCCGGGUGGAACCUCUGGGAAUGGGGCGCGUGCGCCGAGGGGCGCGGAUCUGCAGGGGACCAGCGCGGCAAGUGCGGCCUGGGGACCGCGGCGGAAACUCGGGUGUGAGAGGCGCGCGGAGAACAGGGUGCCCGGGAGGGGGCUCGCGCGCCGCCGCACGGCCUAGAGGGUGGAGACCGGAGCCGGCGCCCGCGGGAGGCUGGGCGGAGCGAAGCCCAGCGCGGGGCCAGGGUGGCCGGCGCCCCCGGGCAGCGAGAGCCCCGCAGAACUUGAGGGGGCGGAGCGCGCGUCCGAGAGCGUCCGGUGCGGUGACAGCGCGCGUCUCAUCCCCCACCCGACCCGCUCACCUGGGCUCGCCGCUCGCAGCCGCCCGGCAGGCAGCCCCGGCCCUCCACCUCCCAGUCCGGCCGCCCGCCGCCGCGCUCCUCCAGCGCCUCCUUUUGUUUGUCCCUCACUGCACCACUCUGCCUCCCCCGCCCCGGAAGUGACGUCACGGCCGGACGCACCCGCGGCAUCCCGGCCGUCGCCAUGUCUGUUAAGGGGAAAGCUUGAGGCCGCUUCACCCUACUCCUGUCCACGUGCCUGCGCCAAGCCACUUCGGGGCGGAAGUAACGGGGCAGAGCUAAGCCCCCUUAAAGGGACAGGGAUCCCUGCAACUUAA